rnacentral:sRNA from 1 species
CACCUGCCAUGCCGUGAGGACAUUCAAACUGCCUAUGGAGAGGUCCACAUAGUGAAAAACUAAGGCCCCUGCCAAAACCCAUAUCAGAUACCAUCAGCAUAAUGUCAUCGAUGCAGUGGACCAGUGUGACAUGGGGAACAUAAAGAUGGUCACGAUUUUUGCAGACUCCAUAUGCAAAGUAUUAUAGGCCUUUCCAUCUAUCCGGAGUGACCUACCAGAGACAGGACAGUGUGACCAGCAAGCUUCUGAUCACUCUUCAACACCCAGCAAGCAGUCUUAUCCUCCAUGCAGCCUUCUAAGACCUCUCUAAGCACAGGUAUCAGAUCCUCCUCUGGAUCACUCUGUCUUGUUACUGCAUUUAUCUCACUGGAUUUCAGUGAAGUGUGUAGACAACUAAUUUGUGCCUGCCUGAUCUGUGAGCUCUUCAUUCAAAGCAGUUGGCUCCUGAGUACAGGAUAAACCCCUAGAAUUGAAUAAAUUUGGUCUUACCUCA